rnacentral:rRNA from 1 species
CUUGCAAGCUAUUUAGCAGUACAGUGAGUAACCUAUAUAAUUCACCCUGAAAAGAAGUGAUAGUCAUAACAAAAGUAUCAGAAAAUUAUCUUAAUUCUAAAACACUAAGCCCCCCACAUCUGCAGUACCUAAUAUUAUACAAUAAGCAAAAACUUGAUAUAGUUAUAGACCAAAAGAGUUGGUUAAUUAUGUGCCAGCCACCGCGGUUAUACAUAAAACUCAAAUCAAGAAAACAAUAAAUCGGUCUAAAAGUGACCAGGGUAUAAACCAUUUUAAGGUGAAAAACAACUCUAGUAUUAACAAGCUUUCACAGUAAACUAACAACUAACUUAAAACCCACCUUAAUUUCUACUUUCUAACCCGAAACACCAAAGCUCAAAAAUAAACUGGGAUUAGAUACCCCACUAUAUGAGCCGUAAAAAACCAAAAACACCAGAGAACUACGAACAAAAGUUUAAAACUCAAAGGACUUGGCGGUUUUUUAGAUCUCCCUGGAGGAGCUUGCUAUCUAACCGAUAACCCACGAAAAACCUUACCAGC